GACGAACGCUGGCGGCGUGCUUAACACAUGCAAGUCGAACGCUGAAGCUCAGCUUUUGUUGGGUGGAUGAGUGGCGAACGGGUGAGUAGCACGUGAGUAACCUGCCUCCUUCUUUGGGAUAACGCCCGGAAACGGGUGCUAAUACUGGAUAUUCACUGGUCUUCGCAUGGGGGUUGGUGGAAAGGGUUUUUCUGGUGGGGGAUGGGCUCGCGGCCUAUCAGCUUGUUGGUGGGGUGAUGGCCUACCAAGGCUUUGACGGGUAGCCGGCCUGAGAGGGUGACCGGUCACAGUGGGAGUGAGAUACGGCCCAGACUCAGACGGGAGGCAGCAGUGGGGAAGAGGGCGCAAUGGGCGCAAGCCUGAUGCAGCGGCGCGGCGGGAGGGAUGGAGGCCUUCGGGUUGUGAACCUCCUUCGCUCAUGGUCAAGCCGCAACAAUGGUUGUGGUGAGGGUAGUGGGUAAAGAAGCGCCGGCUAACUACGUG
rnacentral:rRNA from 1 species